rnacentral:rRNA from 1 species
GACGAACGCUGGCGGCGUGCUUAACACAUGCAAGUCGAACGAUGAACCCGGAGCUUGCUCUGGGGGAUUAGUGGCGAACGGGUGAGUAACACGUGAGUAACCUGCCCUGGACUCUGGGAUAAGCGUUGGAAACGACGUCUAAUACCGGAUAGGACCUUGGAUCGCAUGAUCUGGGGUGGAAAGUUUUUUCGGUCUGGGAUGGACUCGCGGCCUAUCAGCUUGUUGGUGAGGUAAUGGCUCACCAAGGCGUCGACGGGUAGCCGGCCUGAGAGGGUGACCGGCCACACUGGGACUGAGACACGGCCCAGACUCCUACGGGAGGCAGCAGUGGGGAAUAUUGCACAAUGGGCGAAAGCCUGAUGCAGCAACGCCGCGUGCGGGAUGAUGGCCUUCGGGUUGUAAACCGCUUUUAGUAGGGAAGAAGGGCUUCGGCUUGACGGUACCUGCAGAAAAAGGACCGGCUAACUACGUG